GACGAACGCUGGCGGCGUGCUUAACACAUGCAAGUCGAACGGAAAGGCCCUGCUUUUGUGGGGUGCUCGAGUGGCGAACGGGUGAGUAACACGUGAGUAACCUGCCCUUGACUUUGGGAUAACUUCAGGAAACUGGGGCUAAUACCGGAUAGGAGCUCCUGCUGCAUGGUGGGGGUUGGAAAGUUUCGGCGGUUGGGGAUGGACUCGCGGCUUAUCAGCUUGUUGGUGGGGUAGUGGCUUACCAAGGCUUUGACGGGUAGCCGGCCUGAGAGGGUGACCGGCCACAUUGGGACUGAGAUACGGCCCAGACUCCUACGGGAGGCAGCAGUGUGGAAUAUUGCACAAUGGGCGGAAGCCUGAUGCAGCAACGCCGCGUGCGGGAUGACGGCCUUCGGGUUGUAAACCGCUUUCGCCUGUGACGAAGCGUGAGUGACGGUAAUGGGGAAAGAAGCACCGGCUAACUACGU
rnacentral:rRNA from 1 species